CUUGUACACACCGCCCGUCACACCACGGGAGUUGGAGACGCCCGAAGCCGAUUAUCUAACCUUGUGGAAGAAGUCGUCGAAGGUGGAAUUAAUAACUGGGGUGAAGUCGUAACAAGGUAGCCGUAUCGGAAGGUGCGGCUGGAUCACCUCCUUUCUAAGGAGA
rnacentral:rRNA from 1 species